CCUAGCCUCAGCAGAAAGAAAAGGGGAGGGUGUCAGUUAGACUUUAAUAGGUGCCUGUUCUACCAGCUGUGGACCGUCUGCAGCUGCAGCGACACCGAGACGCAGCCUAGUCCUCAGCCUCAGGCCCGGACGCACCAGACGAAGGCAAGCCAGGCUACAGGAUCAGCCACGGCCCCACCACACCCGUCACAAACAGGGUGCGCGCAGACUGUGUGCACGGAGACACCGAGCACCAGAGGGAGACACGGAGCGGAUGACAGCAGGCUCCUUACCACCACCGACGGCAGAAGACAACCAAAGAACCAACAGGGCUGCAGAGCACCAGGUCACACACGCCUCUGCGGGGCCAGCCUUCACACAGGCCUUCAGCAGACCCCAGUUAAGGACAGCGUCACAGCAUCACUGUCCCCUAACAGCUUCCACCUGACAUAACCCGAGGGAGACACCCCGCAAGCCAGGUCCAUUAGCAAGGAUGUGCGCCUCACGAAUGAUGGACCAGAUGGACCGAGUAACAAGGUCGGGCGUUUUAACAACAGCAGGCGACCCUCACGGCGACCUGCUGACCUGCAGGGAUCCAGGUACCAGAGGAGAGGCCAGGACGCCACCUCUCACCUCAGC